rnacentral:rRNA from 1 species
GACGAACGCUGGCGGCGUGCCUAAUACAUGCAAGUCGAGCGCAGGAAGUCAUCCGAACCCUUCGGGGGGACGUUGACGGAAUGAGCGGCGGACGGGUGAGUAACACGUAAAGAACCUGCCCUCAGGUCUGGGAUAACCACGAGAAAUCGGGGCUAAUACCGGAUGGGUCAUCGGACCGCAUGGUCCGAGGAUGAAAGGCGCUCCGGCGUCACCUGGGGAUGGCUUUGCGGUGCAUUAGCUAGUUGGUGGGGUAAUGGCCCACCAAGGCGACGAUGCAUAGCCGACCUGAGAGGGUGAUCGGCCACACUGGGACUGAGACACGGCCCAGACUCCUACGGGAGGCAGCAGUAGGGAAUCUUCCACAAUGGACGAAAGUCUGAUGGAGCAACGCCGCGUGAACGAUGAAGGCCCUCGGGUCGUAAAGUUCUGUUGUAAGGGAAGAACAAGUGCCGCAGGCAAUGGCGGCACCUUGACGGUACCUUGCGAGAAAGCCACGGCUAACUACGUG